rfam:Triticum aestivum genome assembly, contig: Triticum_aestivum_CS42_TGACv1_scaffold_321795_4BL
UUACUACUCCCUCCAUUCCGAAUUACUACUUGUCUUAGAUUUGUCUAGAUAUGGAUGUAUCUAGACACGUUCUACUGUUAGAUACAUCUGUAUCUAGACAAAUCUAAGACAAGUAAUUUGGGAUGGAGGUAAUACCUG